GAUGAACGCUAGCGGGAGGCCUAACACAUGCAAGCCGAGCGGUAUUGUUUCUUCGGAAAUGAGAGAGCGGCGUACGGGUGCGUAACACGUGUGCAACCUGCCUUUAUCUGGGGGAUAGCCUUUCGAAAGGAAGAUUAAUACUCCAUAAUAUAUUGAACGGCAUCGUUUAAUAUUGAAAGCUCCGGCGGAUAGAGAUGGGCACGCGCAAGAUUAGCUAGUUGGUGAGGUAACGGCUCACCAAGGCGAUGAUCUUUAGGGGGCCUGAGAGGGUGAUCCCCCACACUGGUACUGAGACACAGACCAGAAUCCUACGGGAGGCAGCAGUGAGGAAUAUUGGUCAAUGGGUGCAAGCCUGAACCAGCCAUCCCGCGUGAAGGACGACUGCCCUAUGGGUUGUAAACUUCUUUUGGAUAGGGAUAAACCUACCCUCGAGAGGGUAGCUGAAGGUACUAUACGAAUAAGCACCGGCUAACUCCGUG
rnacentral:rRNA from 1 species